rnacentral:tRNA from 1 species
UGAGGUGUAAUCCUUCUUCUUGA